AAAGACAAAAAGAAUAGAAGGGAAAGAGUCAAACAUUGUGAGCAACUAGUCCAAAAAGUAGUGGGACGAUAUGAUUCAAAGCAUGAGAAAUAUGUAAUACAUAAACUUAUAUAUCGAACAAAGUAAAAAAUAUUAGAGAAAGAAACAAAACUGAAUUAAAAGUCCUUUUUCAAAAAAUAAGAAAAAAAAAACAAAACUGAAUUGAAGGGAGAGAGAAAGGUUUUGGUUGCGCUCGUGAGCAAUGAUUGAAAUUCAAUCAUAAAUUUUACAGGUGGAUGUGGGGAACCUCCAUGCACCCUCUUCUUCACAUCUUCACCUAAAUUUCCAUUUUUUGUUAUUUGAUUUAG
rnacentral:lncRNA from 1 species